CAGCAGUCGCGAAAACUUCGCAAUGGGGGCAACCCCGAUGAGGGAAUUCCUAGUGCUAGUGCUUUUUGUACUAGCUUUUCUUUAGCGUAGAUAACUAAAGGAAUAAGGGCUGGGUAAGACGGGUGCCAGCCGCCGCGGUAAUACCUGCAGCCCAAGUGGUGGUCGAUUUUAUUGAGUCUAAAACGUUCGUAGCCGGUCUGAUAAAUCCUUGGGUAAAUCGGAAAGCUUAACUUUCCGAAUUCCGAGGAGACUGUCAGACUUGGGACCGGGAGAGGCUAGAGGUACUUCUGGGGUAGGGGUAAAAUCCUGUAAUCCUAGAAGGACCACCGGUGGCGAAGGCGUCUAGCUAGAACGGAUCCGACGGUGAGGGACGAAGCCCUGGGUCGCAAACGGGAUUAGAUACCCCGGUAGUCCAGGGUGUAAACGCUGCAGACUUGGUGUUGGGGACCCUUCGGGGGUGUUCAGUGCCGGAGAGAAGUUGUU
rnacentral:rRNA from 1 species